rnacentral:tRNA from 1 species
GGGAAUGUAGCUUAGUGGUAGAGUGCUUGCCUAGUGUGCAUGAAGACCUGGGUUCGAUUCCUCAGUACCA